AGUGAACGCUGGCGGUAGGCCUAACACAUGCAAGUCGAACGGCAGCACAGUAAGAGCUUGCUCUUACGGGUGGCGAGUGGCGGACGGGUGAGGAAUACAUCGGAAUCUACUUUUUCGUGGGGGAUAACGUAGGGAAACUUACGCUAAUACCGCAUACGACCUACGGGUGAAAGCAGGGGAUCUUCGGACCUUGCGCGAUUGAAUGAGCCGAUGUCGGAUUAGCUAGUUGGCGGGGUAAAGGCCCACCAAGGCGACGAUCCGUGGCUGGUCUGAGAGGAUGAUCAGCCACACUGGAACUGAGACACGGUCCAGACUCCUACGGGAGGCAGCAGUGGGGAAUAUUGGACAAUGGGCGCAAGCCUGAUCCAGCCAUACCGCGUGGGUGAAGAGGGCCUUCGGGUUGUAAAGCCCUUUUGUUGGGAAAGAAAAGCAGCAGGUUAAUACCCCGCUGUUCUGACGGUACCCAAAGAAUAAGCACCGGCUAACUUCGUG
rnacentral:rRNA from 1 species